rnacentral:rRNA from 1 species
CCUACGGGUGGCAGCAGUGAGGAAUAUUGGUCAAUGGACGAGACUCUGAACCAGCAACGUAGCGUGAAGGAUGACUGCCCUAGGGGUGGUAAACUUCUUUUAUAGGGGAAUAAAACAGGGUAUGCAUACCCUCUUGUAUGUACCAUAUGAAUAAGCAUAGGCUAACUCCGUGCCAGCAGCCGCGGUAAUACGGAGGAUUCGAGCGUUAUCCGGAUUUAUUGGGUUUAAUGGGUGCGUAGGUGGAUUGUUAAGUCAGUGGUGAAAGUUUGCGGCUCAACCGUAGAAGUGCAGCUGAAACGGGCAGUCUUGAGUACAGUAGAGGUGAGCGGAAUUCGUGGUGUAGCGGUGAAAUGCGUAGAUAUCACGAAGAACUCCGAUGGCGAAGGCAGCUUGCUGGACUGUAACUGACACUGAGGCACGAAAGUGUGGGGAUCAAACAGGAUUAGAUACCCCGGUAGUC